rnacentral:rRNA from 1 species
GAUUAGAUACCCUGGUAGUCCACGCCGUAAACGAUGAGUGCUAAGUGUUAGGGGGUUUCCGCCCCUUAGUGCUGCAGCUAACGCAUUAAGCACUCCGCCUGGGGAGUACGACCGCAAGGUUGAAACUCAAAGGAAUUGACGGGGGCCCGCACAAGCGGUGGAGCAUGUGGUUUAAUUCGAAGCAACGCGAAGAACCUUACCAGGUCUUGACAUCCUUUGACCACUCUGGAGACAGAGCUUUCCCUUCGGGGACAAAGUGACAGGUGGUGCAUGGUUGUCGUCAGCUCGUGUCGUGAGAUGUUGGGUUAAGUCCCGCAACGAGCGCAACCCUUGAUUUUAGUUGCCAGCAUUUAGUUGGGCACUCUAAAGUGACUGCCGGUGCAAGCCGGAGGAAGGUGGGGAUGACGUCAAAUCAUCAUGCCCCUUAUGACCUGGGCUACACACGUGCUACAAUGGAUAGUACAAAGGGUCGCGAAGCCGCGAGGUGGAGCUAAUCCCAUAAAACUAUUCUCAGUUCGGAUUGUAGGCUGCAACUCGCCUACAUGAAGCCGGAAUCGCUAGUAAUCGUGGAUCAGCAUGCCACGGUGAAUACGUUCCCGGGCCUUGUACACACCGCCCGUCACACCACGAGAGUUUGUAACACCCGAAGUCGGUAGGGUAACCUUUAUGGAGCCAGCCGCCGAAGGUGGGACAGAUAAUUGGGGUGAAGUCGUAACAAGGUAGCCGUAUCGGAAGGUGCGGCUGGAUCACCUCCUUU